rnacentral:rRNA from 1 species
GAUGAACGCUAGCUACAGGCUUAACACGUGCAAGUCGAGGGGUAACAAGAGAAAAGCUUGCUUUUCUUGUUGACGACCGGCGCACGGGUGAGUAACGCGUAUCCAACCUGCCUAUAACUAGGGAAUAACCUUGCGAAAGUAAGACUAAUACCCUAUGAUUUCCUUUGAUGACAUCAGAUUAGGAAUAAAGAUUUAUCGGUUAUAGAUGGGGAUGCGUCUGAUUAGCUUGUUGGCGGGGUAACGGCCCACCAAGGCAACGAUCAGUAGGGGUUCUGAGAGGAAAGUCCCCCACAUUGGAACUGAGACACGGUCCAAACUCCUACGGGAGGCAGCAGUGAGGAAUAUUGGUCAAUGGGCGGAAGCCUGAACCAGCCAAGUAGCGUGCAGGAUGACGGCCCUAUGGGUUGUAAACUGCUUUUAUACAGGAAUAAAGUUAGCCACGUGUGGUUAUUUGUAGGUACUGUAUGAAUAAGGACCGGCUAAUUCCGUGCCAGCAGCCGCGGUAA